CUGUAGCUCUCUUCGACUUUCACAUAAUAGAACUAUAUAUAUAUAUAAAUAUAUAUAUAUAUAUAUAUAUAUAUAUAUAUAUAUAUAUAUAUAGUUCUAUUAUGUGAAAGUCGAAGAGAGCUACAG